AAGUCGUAACAAGGUCUCCGUAGGUGAACCUGCGGAGGGAUCAUUAACGAGUAAGGGCGGAAACGCCCGACCUCCAACCCUUUGUGUGCGAAACCCCGUUGCCUCGGGGCCGCCCGCCCGGUCGGCAACAACUGCAUCUUUGCGUCAGAGUAAAUAUUUUAAUAAAUUUAAAA
rnacentral:misc_RNA from 1 species